rnacentral:rRNA from 1 species
GAUGAACGCUGGCAGAAUGCUUAACACAUGCAAGUCAACUGUGGCGGACGGGUGAGUAACGCGUAAAGAACUUGCCUCACGGAUAGGGACAACAUUUGGAAACGAAUGCUAAUCCCUGAUACUGUGAGAGAGCUUUGCGUCCCAUUAGCUAGUUGGAGAGGUACCGGCUCACCAAGGCGAUGAUGGGUAGCCGGCCUGAGGGGGUGAUAGGCCACAAGGGGACUGAGACACGGGCCUGACUCCUACGGGAGGAAGGAGUGGGGAAUAUAGGCCAAUGUGCCAAAGUCUGAUCCAGCAAUGCUGUGUGUACGAUGCAGUUUUCGGAAGGUAAAGGGCUUUCAGUUGGGAAGCGUUACCAACAGAAGAAGUGACGGCUAAAUACGUGCCAGCAGCCGCGGUAAUAC